rnacentral:lncRNA from 1 species
CUCUCUUUACUACUUUCAGAAAUUUCAAUACACUUAUUCAAAUCAAAAGCAGACUGACUCUCACAAUUGUCAUUCACAUUUUUAGCAAUGGCACUCAAAUAAGCUCCCUAAGUAAAAAAAGAAAACUUAAUAAACAUUUCAUUAACCAUACACAACUAAUAAUAACAUAACAAAUACAAAAAUAAUGUGAUAACAAUAAAUAAGCAAAAAGUAACUUACAUCA